rnacentral:rRNA from 1 species
GACGAACGCCGGCGGCGUGCUUAACACAUGCAAGUCGAGCGGUAAGGCCCUUUCGGGGGUACGCGAGCGGCGAACGGGUGAGUAACACGUGGGUGACCUGCCCUCAGCUCUGGGAUAAGCCUGGGAAACCGGGUCUAAUACUGGAUAUGACUCCAUGACGCAUGUUGUGGGGUGGAAAGCCUUGUGCGGCUGAGGAUGGGCCCGCGGCCUAUCAGCUUGUUGGUGGGGUGAUGGCCUACCAAGGCGACGACGGGUAGCCGGCCUGAGAGGGCGACCGGCCACACUGGGACUGAGACACGGCCCAGACUCCUACGGGAGGCAGCAGUGGGGAAUCUUGCGCAAUGGGCGAAAGCCUGACGCAGCGACGCCGCGUGAGGGAUGACGGCCU